UAUGCCUGCAUGUGUUCCUGCACUUACCAAUAAAUAACCAAACACGAAUCAACUCAUAGAUUUUGACUCUGAUCAGUGAGCCAGACCACCGGUGGAAAUGUCUGUGAAGAUCCUCUCCAUCACUCUCCUCCUGGUCUCAAUGUGUGUGUGCUGCCACUCCUCUGAAGCUUUUAUCUCUCAGAUACUCAUCGUCAUCAUCCUGGACCGGUACCACCAUGCUGCACUGCAGUCACCAAAGGCAAUAUGACUGCUGACGUGGUGGGGCAAAUAUAUCAUGAACUGGCUGCAAGAGGACACUGUGUGAAGGCUAUAAUUUUUUACACAAAAGAUGGAAAACUUUGUGCUGAUCCAGACGCUCAGUGGGUCAAAGAUCUCAUUGCCAAAAUGAAGAAGGAGUGAAGCCUGUCUGCUGCAUCAGUAUUUCCAGUAUUUCCAUCACCUUUAAAGGCUUAUUCAAACCAGAGCGCUUUCUCAGCCUGUCUUGAAACUUUUUUUUUUUUUUUUGCAUUUGUAGAUU